AGAAUCAACGCUGGCGGCGUGCCUAACACAUGCAAGUCGCACGAGAAAGCGGGAGCAAUCCUGUGAGUAAAGUGGCGUACGGGUGAGUAACACGUGAAUCAUCUACCUUCGAGUGUGGAAUAACUGAGAGAAAUCUUAGCUAAUACCGCAUAAUACUUACGAGUCAAAGCAGCAAUGCGCUUGAAGAGGAGUUCGCGGCAGAUUAGUUAGUUGGCGGGGUAAUGGCCCACCAAGACGAUGAUCUGUA
rnacentral:rRNA from 1 species